CCCACAGAUCCUCAGGACUGCUACGUCAUCAUUGUCUUCUGUCCAAUCACGUCUCGUGUUGGAUCAGAUGUGGAGGCAGCCAUGAGACGUGAGGAAGUGUCUCAGAGUCAGAAACCUGUCAUCUUAGUGAUGAUGCAUCACACCAGAGAAGUCGACUAUUCACCUGAUGGAAGAAAAUGGUGUGAAAAGUAUCGAAACGUCGUCUCUGAGGUUCAUGUUCUCUUCCAUGAGACUCAGCCGGGCUUACUGAGAUGUGACAGGAAUGAUCAGGCAUUUGAACAAAUUCAAAAUGAGGUGUACAAACACAGUAAAGGCAGACGGCCUUGGUGACUUUCUGGUCUGGAUGUGGAACAAAAAGCAACAAACAAUGAAGUAAAGAAAGCAGCAGGAUGGUGAGAUUCAUGUUAGUGAUCAAUGACAGAAACAGAGAAACACAGUUUGACCUUCUCCUGAGUGAAUCUGAUUUAAUAUCACUGAUCACAGCUGCUUCACACUGUAUUUCUGCUCUAUAGUUACUGAGUGUCUUUCCUCUUUUUAUUCACAUUUUCAGUCUGCACAUAAACAAAUAAUCAAAGUUUUAUCUGCUGAGCUGAGGAUGAAUAAACUCUGACGUCCAUGAAGAGAAUAAACAUCAGAUCUGAACCUUCCUCACAUUAAAACAUUCAAACAGAAACAUGGUUUCCCAUCGUCUGAUCUUUGACUGCAGCUCUGUUAAUGACCUCCUCCUCCUCUUCUUCUUCUGUGGUGGUUUAACAGCAGCGACUGGAGACCCAGCUCCUCCAGCUGUUGAUGGCUCAGAUUGGACUCUGUACAUGACACUGUUGACUGUUUGCCUGUGUGUUGGAUUAAAUGUUUCAUCUCAGUGUGA